rnacentral:rRNA from 1 species
AGCAGCCGCGGUAAUUCCAGCUCCAAUAGCGUAUAUUAAAGUUGUUGCAGUUAAAAAGCUCGUAGUUGAAUUUCGGGAUCAAUAUGUCGGUCGUACCUCGGUACGUACUGGCAUCAUUGGUUUCUCCCUUCUGAUGAACCAUGAUGCCAUUAAUUUGGUGUCGUGGGGAAUCAGGACUGUUACUUUGAAAAAAUUAGAGUGUUUAAAGCAGGCUCACGCUUGAAUACAUUAGCAUGGAAUAAUGAAAUAGGACGUUUGAUUCUAUUUUGUUGGUUUCUAGGAUCGACGUAAUGAUUAAUAAGGAUAGUUGGGGGCAUUAGUAUUCAAUUGUCAGAGGUGAAAUUCUUGGAUUUAUUGAAGACUAACUACUGCGAAGGCAUUUGCCAAGGAUGUUUUCAUUAAUCAAGAACGAAAGUUAGGGGAUCGAAGACGAUCAGAUACCGUCGUAGUCUUAACCAUAAACUAUGCCGACUAGGGAUCGGAUGAUGUUAAUUUUUAAUGACUCAUUC